rnacentral:rRNA from 1 species
GACGAACGCUGGCGGCGUGCUUAACACAUGCAAGUCGAACGGGCCCGCCCCUGUUUUUGGGGGUGGGUUGAGUGGCGAACGGGUGAGUAUCACGUGAGUAACCUGCCCCCUGCUCCUGGAUAACUGCUUGAAAGGGCGGCUAAUACGGGGUGUGCCGGCUGGUCCGCAUGGGCCUGGUCGGGAUAGUUUCAUCUUCGGGUGUUUCGGUGGGGGAUGCGCUCGCGGCCUAUCAGCUUGUUGGUGGGGUGAUGGCCCACCAAGGCGGUGACGGGUAGCCGGCCUGAGAGGGUGGGCGGCCACACUGGGACUGAGACACGGCCCAGACUCCUGCGGGAGGCAGCAGUGGGGGGUAUUGCACAAUGGGCGGAAGCCUGAUGCAGCGACGUCGCGUGAGGGAUGGAGGCCGUCGGGUUGUGAACCUCUUUCUCCGGUGGUGAAGGCCCUGUCCGUUGCGGCGGGGUUGACGGUAGCCGGGUAUGAAGCGCCGGCUAACUACGUG